rnacentral:lncRNA from 1 species
UGCUUACUCUUCCGGUGAUGAAGGCAAGUGUGUUCCUGGAGAGGUUACUGAAUCCGGAGCUGCUUUUAGGGAGUUGCAGAUGGUGCAGGCCUCCCUCCCUCCUCAAGGAAGCGGAAGACACCAUCACAAUCAGGCAGCCAGGAGCCAGGGCUUCCAAAGGCCCAACUGUGCACUUGUAGGGGUAAGGAAUCUGGUAAAAGUAUUCUGGGGAGUCGUCCUUGGAUAUCUACUCAGUAUCUUCUCAGUAUCUUGACCAUCUAUGAUAAUUUUAAUCCUCAUUUGAUCAUAUUUUAUG